AGCACUAGAAGGACGAGGGGCGUGGUGACACGUAUUCUGUCGCGCUAUUUUGGUUUUUAAAAAGUCUGUCGAAAAAAAAAAAAAGUUGAUGUUACGUUUGGAGAGCUUCAAAAGAAAAUUGCAUAUCCGUCAAAAUAAUGUUGCGCCGUUGUGACGAAACUGCCAGCGGCUAGCAUCGUGGUUGUGCCAAAUUUAGAGCGGAAAAAAAAAAUUUGUUUCUGCAAUGGGGCAGCGUUUAUAGUGCCCAUGCCCUAUAGUUUAUAAUUAUUGGCAACCGUGCUUGCGCCAACAUGUAAUUAAUGCGUUGUUACGGGACAUAGUACGAAAUGGAAAUGUUUCAUGCAAGAGGAACAAAACAAACUAAACAUAGGAGAAGGUACGAGAAUAUUCUCGUAAUGUAAAAGCGGCCCUGAAACCGAAACUAGCACCCAUUGUGAAAUGGAGAUGUAGCAGAGGCACAGUUGCUGCAAAGAAAGUACUCCAGCUACAUAGCGAUGCACGAUGCCUCUCUGUGGUUUGCUGCAGCAUUUUAUUGUGCAUUAAGUAAUUGCAGACACAGUUCAAUGGUGACACCUUUGCUGUGCUGUUGGGCAUCAUAGUGCGUAGAGUGGUACAUCCAGAUACAUUCAACACGGUACGACACUGUUUCAAAGCAGACGACACAGCAGUUUUUCGUUUCAUGAAGUCAGAAACUCUAUGCCAAAAUUAUUUUUGGUGGGAGGAGUUUAGAGACAGUGCUUUCAAACUGAAAUUUCAAGUUAUAAUGCACAUUUAAAGACCAGUUUUUUGUGACUAACCAUGCUGAACCCUCUAUUCAUAAAAUGAGGUUAGUAGUUUGACCACGUCAUGAUCCCUUUAAAGGGGGCAAGCUGAUGCUAAAAGGCCCUCAAGAGUUCAAAUAACAUUGCAAACACAAGCUCAGGUAUAUUGCCAUUAGCAGCAGCAUCUGCCAAUGCUGCCAUAUCUUGUGGAAGUAACUUAAUGUGCUUUCAAAACAAAGAGUGCCCCCAUAAAGUAUUUUCAUGUGUAGGCACGAAUGACCGAAAUAGUAAUUUGUAGGCACAAUGUAGUCAGUGCUGAACCAUUUCCUAAAACCUCAUUUUUGCUCGGACACCAAAAGAAGGGGGGUUCCCCCUGGCAUUUGGUGACAAAUAAGGAUUUGCCGCGGACUAGUAUUACCCGUGUUGUUAUGAUAUGAUUUCUGCUUCAGGUUAACUAUAGGCAACAUAGAAGAGUUGCAAAAUCUUCCAAGGUAGGUUUCCUUGCAGUGUCAGUGCAUUCCAUUUUCGCUACAAUUGUUACGUGUAGUGUAGCUUUUCGCAUGGUUGGCGAUGGCCAGGAGGAAGGGAGACGUGAUGCACGCUCUCAUUCGAACGCGUAGCGUCUCCUAUCUGGUAUAUACUAGGCCACGGCCAAAUACGUCAAACGUUAACUGCACGUAACAAUUAUAGUGAGGAUAGAACACACCGCUAUUGUGCAUGAAUUAGAGUAGUGCACGAAAGCUACCUUGGAAGGUUUUGCAACUCGUCCAUUGUAUACCAUUGUUCCCCUUGAGCUGACUCAUAUUGCUUGUAAUAUGUUUGUUGUGUGUAGUCUUCCUGCAAUAAGCUAUGUAUUUGGAUUGAGCGUAUGUAUCGAAUAAUGGUAGUCUUCAGGUGAAAUAAAAUUUACAA